CUAAAACUUCCUUUCUUCACUAAAAUUAAUAGCAAACUAGCCUCGACUCCAGCCCUUGAAUAGUGAAUAGCCUUUGAAUAGCCUUUCUCAGCGGCUUGGAAUCGAGGCUAAUAGCGAACAUGUGGCAUUCAGCUACUGCGCAUGCUCAACUUCUUAUUCUGGGUGGGCUUAUAAUCGAGUGAAAAUACCCUUGUGCAAGAACUUUGAAGCAAAAGAGGGGAUGGGCGUUUAUUCAAGAUGGGCUUAUUUUCGCGAGGGUACGGUAAAUACUGGAAUGUUAGUAGUGAAUCUGGGGAAAUCCUGGUUUUUCCCCUAGCAAGGCUUCCUGUCACAUGCAAUACACUGCUGAACUACAAUGUAGCUAGCCUCGAUCCCAGGCCGCACUUCCCACUUCACUUUUCUAUGAAGCUGAAGGCCGCGCCGGUGAAGGAGGCUACAAUGUAGCAGGCUAGCACAGUGGAUUAGUGGACGUGGGGGAGAUGGCCUGAUAAUCCUGAUGACUCAGACUGCUUUGUAGAGUGACUGAAAGAUCAGGAGAGAAGCUGGGAGCAUGUGAUGGAAGUUAGACUGCAUGGAGCUGACAUAAACCAUAGAUAGCAUAAACCAUGUGGACUGCAGCACUGUAAUUAGGUGACUCUACACCGGCACCGUCACUACUUCGUACUGGUUGUAUAAACUACAUCAUGAGAUGAGUGAGUGCCUACUGCAAUGGAGUCUAUGUCUUUUGAGGAGACAAGAAGAAGCACUGAGAAGAGAUACAGAGUACAGUAGCUGGAGUCAUUCAAGGCCUAAGUUAAGAGAGGGGCCUCACGUAAACUGGCCACUCAGGCGCUAACAAACUUCAGCAGUAUGGAAGAGGGUCUGUCAUCAAAGACUAAAAACUCCCCUGACACCCAGCCCUUACAUGCAGCCCACCUACCUCCAGUCUGGUGAGCAGCCUAUAAGCAGUGAGGGACAGUCUCAAUACAUGGGUCCAUGGACAAGGGUUAAAUACGAUGUUCCAUGCUGAUGACUAUAGAGCUACAGGCUCUCUCUAAACGACACUGCCCUUUCUGUAAUUAUAGAAACUCUUCCGACUCUAUGACUAUCAAUUUUCUUUUGCUAUUAAUUUUGCAAAUAGCAUUAUACAUGUAACUGUUGAGAAAAGCAGUUGAUUGUGUCUAAAAAAAUAUAAGAGUCUUUCACACAAUAAUGAUUAUGUUAUAGCAGA